ACUAUUAUUAAUAAUUAAAAGGUGCGGUUGGGUGUGGUUUAAUUCGGAAUCGUUUCAAACGAUUCCUGCUUCUCUUUCGAUACGAGUACGAUUCCAUUCGGAAUCGAAGGAUCGAAUACUCCGGACUCGGAAUCGCCCAUCACUACAAAAUACUAUGCUUCAUUGAAAUUUAAUUUCCUAGUGCAGGCUGCAGUGUAGUGUAGAGCUGAGAGCUCAAAGGAUAAUGUGUGAAUUUAUUCCUAUACUGUUAAUAACUGUGUUUCAUGUGUUUCUUGGUCUCAUAAAUCUUGGUGUUGGACGUCCUUUCAUUGCUACAAGCUCAUUGGGAUACUAUCUCAUGUCAGCCGCACCACCAAUGCCACUCACUGUUCUCUCUAUCUGUAUUCAUCUAUUCAUAAUUGUUGCAUUAGUUCUGUGUGUUUGCAAGGGCAAAUAGCACACUACUCAAUUCAUUAUUUGAUCACUACCACUAUACCAGAUAACAGAUCCUUCUUAUAUAAAUGACAGUUAAUUAUGUACUUCAUGCAUUGGCUGCAUAACAUGUAUUGUUGUAUUGUUGUCGUCUUCAUUCCAUUAAUUAGUGGGAGUAAUUCAUUAUAUAUAUAUUCCAUAUUUCCUUUAAUAAUAGCUAUAUUUAUGUAAAAUAUGAUAUCUUAUUCCAUUCAUGAGUGGACAGGUCUAA